GGGGCGGAUGUAGCCAAGUGGAUUAAGGCAGUGGAUUGUGAAUUCACCAUCG
rnacentral:tRNA from 1 species